AGCUCUUGCAUGAGGCACCUACAGGCAGAGGAUUAAUUAGGUUUUCAGUUUCAGUUUCCCAGAAAGGAGGUGGGCUUUUUUUUCACCCUGCUUUAAAAGCCCUUGGGCCCUUCCCAGCUGGGUGCCAGCCAACUGUGGCUGCCUGGGACACUCCAUCUUAAGUCCCUGUGCCUCUGCUGUGUGUUACUGAGUGCCUAGGCCGUGCCAGCCUGUAUUCAUCUGUACUAUGACCUGAAGAGGCAGAGGCCAUCACUGUUGGUCCGGUCUCCACCUGGGGAAACUGAGGUUGCACAGUUGCGUGGUGGAGUGAGGGCAGGGCCUGGGUCUGGGGGCGGGGCCUGGGUCUGACCCCAGGGACUGGUUUUUGUGUUCAGGUGUCUCUGUGGUGACGAGCAGGGCUUCAUCCAGUGCCUCUGUCCCCACCGAGGGGACUAUGGGAGACAUGGAGGGUGUGUGAGCAACAGGUGAGACUGGAGCCAGCUGAAAACUGGGAGACCGACCCAGCCAACAAACAAUGUCGGUCUCUGUCUUGGCACCUGCAGGAAACAAGCUCCUACUUCCAGAAAAAGUGCUCCUGGGACUCCAGGAUACCAGGCAUCUGGGUAAGCUACAAUGCUUAACCACUUAACACAAUCAGGAAGCAACAGCCAUGCAUUCGGGAAAGGAACUUCAGUGUUGUGUGGCUCAGUCUCCAGACCUAACUUUCCCUUUGGUACAGACGCGGUGGUACAUGCCUGUAAUCCCAACACUUAGGCAGGAGGAUCACUCGAGCCCAGAAGAUCAAGACUAGUGUGAGCAACAAACCUUGUUUCCCAUAUGAGUAGACUCUCCCUUAGCUGGGAAAGCCUGACGAACGCCAUCUGGCCCCUUGAUUUACAAGACAUUAAGGGCUACUUACCCAACCCCCUUCCUCAAAGAGUUAACCUGCGUAAGCAGAUCCUCAGCAUUUCAAAGGAGCCCAAUUAGCUGAUAAGGUACUGGAACAAACAAUGUACGAAGUUCCCAGGAUUUUGCUCAAAAGCAUAACAACAUAAAGCCUUGAGUCUGUGUCUGGCAUAGCAUCCAUAUCUAACUCUUAUGAAGGAUUUAGAGCCCGGCACCUGGUUCCGUUGCUUUUUUUGUAACCAUUUGUCUUUUAAAUUGUUUAUUUCUCUGUAACCAUUUGUUUUUUGAUUCUUGCAUGUUUUUACUUCUGUAGAAUUAUUGCAUUUGAGCUCCGCUCCCCUUCCGAACCAAGGUAUAAAAGUAAAUCAAGCCCCUUCCUCGGGGCCGAGAGAAUUUUGGAAAGUCAAGCCUUCUCUUGGCUGCCGGCUUAAAUAAAGGACUCUUAAUUCGUCUCGAAGUGUGGCGUUUUCUCUAACUCGCUUGGGUAUAACACUUUGAGCCUGCGAGGCAGAGUUUGCAGUGAGCCGAGAUCACGCCACUGCACUCCAGCCUCGGCAACAAGAGUGAAACUCCGUUUCAAAAAACAAAAACAAAACAAAACAAAAGAACCCUCACAAUCUUCCUGCACCCAACUGAUGAAAUCACCAUUGCAAAAGUUAUAUCAGUGAGAACAUUAGAACAGUAAGCUAAGCUAACCCAAACCCCACCUUACUUUUCCCUUAAUUAUUCCUGGGCUACUGGGUCGAGCUAACUUUGGAAGACAUUUAGGCUAUGGUUUAAAUAACAGGCCUUGCCAAAAACUCAACCACUUAUUUUUUUGAGACGGAGUCUUGCUCUGUCGCCCAGGCUGGAGUGCAGUGGUGUGAUCUGGGCUCACUGCAAUCUCUGCCUCUGGGUUCAAGCAAUUCUCCUGCCUCAACCUCCUGAGUAGCUGGGAUUACAGGCGCAUGCCACUGAGUAGCUGGGAUUACAGGCGCAUGCCACCAAGCCUGGCUAAUUUUUGUAUUUUUAGUAGAGACAGGGUUUCACCAUGUUGGUCAGACUGGUCUCGAACUCCUGACCUUGUGAUCCACCCACCUCAGCCUCCCAAAGUGCUGGGAUUACAGGCUUGAGCCACCGUGCCCAGCCUGCUUUUUUUUUUUUUUUUUCCUUGAGACAGAGUCUCAUUCUGUCACCCAGGCUGGAGUGCAGAGGCACCAUUUCUGCUCACUGAAACCUCCACUUCUGGGGCUCAAGCAAUUCUCCUCUCUCAGCCUCAGGAGUAGCUGGGAUUACAGGCGCCUGCCACCAAGCCUGGCUAAUUGUUUUGUAUUUUUAGUAGAGAUGGGGUUUCACCC
rnacentral:lncRNA from 10 species